rnacentral:rRNA from 1 species
UACAUGGGGUGCAAACGUUGCUCGGAAUUAUUGGGCGUAAAGCGCACGUAGGCGGUUUGUUAAGUCGGAUGUGAAAUCCCUCGGCUCAACUGAGGAAGUGCACCCGAAACUGGCAGGCUUGAGUACUAAAGAGGGUCGCGGAAUUCCCGGUGUAGAGGUGAAAUUCGUAGAUAUCAGGAAGAACACCCGUGGCGAAGGCGGCUCUCUGGAACGCAACUGACGCUGAGACGCGAAAGCGUGGGGAGCAAACAGG